rnacentral:rRNA from 1 species
AAACCUUGAUCCUGCCGGACCUGACUGCUAUCGGAUUGAUACUAAGCCAUGCGAGUUAAAGUAGCAAUACAAGGCAGACGGCUCAGUAACAUUUAGUCAAUCUAACCUAUGGAUGAGGAUAACCUCGGGAAACUGAGAAUAAUACUCAAUAGAUCAUUAUGCCUGGAACGGUUUAUGGUUCAAAUGAAUUUCGCCAUAGGGUGGGACUGCGGUCUAUCAGCUUGUUGGUGAGGUAAUGGCCCACCAAGGCUAUAACAGAUACGGGCUCUGAGAGGAGAAGCCCGGAGAUGGGUACUGAGACACGGACCCAGGCCCUAUGGGGCGCAGCAGGCGAGAAAACUUUGCAAUGUGCGAAAGCACGACAAGGUUAAUCCGCCCGAUUCCUGCUAAAGGAAUCUUUUGUUAGUCAUAAUACCACUGAUGAAUAAAAAAUGGGCAAGUUCUGGUGUCAGCCGCCGCGGUAAAACCAGCACCUCGGGUGGUCAGGAGGAUUAUUCUGCCUAAAGCAUCCGUAGCCUGCUCUGUAAGUUUUCGGUUAAAUCUAUAUGCUCAACAUAUAGGCUGCCGGAAAUACUGCAGAGCUAGGAAGUGGGAGAGGUAGACGGUACUCCGUAGGAAGGGGUAAAAUCCUUUGAUCUAUGGAUGACGCGGAGUGGCGAAGGCGGUCGUCCAGAACACGUUCGACGGUGAGGGAUGAAAGCUGGGGGAGCAAACCGGAUUAGAUACCCGGGUAGUCCCAGCUGUAAACUAUGCAAACUCGGUGAUGCAUUGGCUUGUGGCCAGUGCAGUGUCGCAGGGAAGCCGUUAAGUUUGCCGCCUGGGAAGUACGAUCGCAAGUAUGAAACUUAAAGUGCCA